rnacentral:rRNA from 2 species
AGACCCGAAACCCGGUGAUCUAGCCAUGGGCAGGUUGAAGGUUGGGUAACACUAACUGGAGGACCGAACCGACUAAUGUUGAAAAAUUAGCGGAUGACCUGUGGCUGGGGGUGAAAGGCCAAUCAAACCGGGAGAUAGCUGGUUCUCCCCGAAAGCUAUUUAGGUAGCGCCUCGUGAAUUCAUCUCCGGGGGUAGAGCACUGUUUCGGCUAGGGGGCCAUCCCGGCUUACCAACCCGAUGCAAACUGCGAAUACCGGAGAAUGUUAUCACGGGAGACACACGGCGGGUGCUAACGUCCGUCGUGAAGAGGGAAACAACCCAGACCGCCAGCUAAGGUCCCAAAGUCAUGGUUAAGUGGGAAACGAUGUGGGAAGGCCCAGACAGCCAGGAUGUUGGCUUAGAAGCAGCCAUCAUUUAAAGAAAGCGUAAUAGCUCACUGGUCGAGUCGGCCUGCGCGGAAGAUGUAACGGGGCUAAACCAUGCACCGAAGCUGCGGCAGCGAACGUAUCACCCAAGACAACUUUACGGAGUUGACGAUUGACGGAGCGAAGCGACGUCAAAGCGUUCAUUAAAGUCGAGUUGGCUUAGGGAUACGUUCGUUGGGUAGGGGAGCGUUCUGUAAGCCUGUGAAGGUGUGUCGUGAGGCAUGCUGGAGGUAUCAGAAGUGCGAAUGCUGACAUAAGUAACGAUAAAGCGGGUGAAAAGCCCGCUCGCCGGAAGACCAAGGGUUCCUGUCCAACGUUAAUCGGGGCAGGGUGAGUCGACCCCUAAGGCGAGGCCGAAAGGCGUAGUCGAUGGGAAACGGGUUAAUAUUCCCGUACUUGG